rnacentral:misc_RNA from 1 species
AACGCACGAGACCUGCGGACCUGCGGAAGGAUCAUUACACAAUACAAUAUGAAGGCUGUCCGCAGCUGGAGUAUUUUAUUACCCUUGUCUUUUGCGCACUUGUUGUUUCCUGGGCGGGUUCGCUCGCCACCAGGACCACCAAAUAAACCUUUUUUAUGCAGUUGCAAUCAGCGUCAGUACAAACAAUGUAAAUCAUUUACAACUUUCAACAACGGAUCUCU